AAAACGGUAAUACGCAAAUUGAAGAGACGUCAGUUGUAGCCGCAAUUAAGUCCGAGACCAAAGUAUUGUCCAUAGGAGAUGACGAAGACCUAAUUACAGAUAAAUCAGAAGAAAACAAGAACUCAUUUCAUGAUGUUGUCAGAAAACGUUUGUGUGUACUAACAACGGGUAUUAAAACUCCCCUCAAGGUUAUUGAUAUAGCAAAUUCGGUGAAUAGCUUUGGUGCGGCUCGUAUUAUGAAAAAUAAAAAGCCCAGUCAAUAUCGUUUUUACUGUCUAAAAGGCAACGAAUGGAGAUCUCAUAUGAUUAUAUCUGGUCUAACAUACAAUGCAAAGGAUGCUUUUAAAUAUGUGAAAAAUAGACUAAAAGAGGAAACCUGGAUAUCUGAGGAUACAAUAGAAGCUCCACUCAAAACAAACGGUAAUGGUGGCUUGCGCCUCGAACCCGAUUUGUAUAUUCAAAAUAUUGUUGCGGAAGCCCUUGAUGCAGAAUGGAAAAGGUUGCUUAAUUUCAUAAUAUUUUUACACAGAAAUUAUCGAUAAUAUUCUAAUAUAUAAAGACCAAUCUGAUAGCACAAAAGUGUAUUGCAGCUUUAUCUAGCUGAAACGAAAAGCUUUAAUUGAAAGCUUUUGACACAGUUGCGAAAUUGCUAACGAUUAGUAUUUGGCUGUCUGCAGUGUAUAUAUAGCGUCAUCGAAGACUGUUGCCAAUAACAAAGCCAGAGCAGUUCCAACAUAACAAUAGUAAUAAAUAAUAUGAAUAGCGAAAACGAGAUAGAAGAUGAAAAGGCUCUGGCGACACAGACAUCGACUACAAAAGUUUUGGCCAUAGGAAAUCCGACAGAGGUCAUAAACUGCCCAAGCCCGGAACAUACAAAAAAUAAUAAUAAUAAUUCCAACAA